UACGUAGGGUGCGAGCGUUGUCCGGAAUUAUUGGGCGUAAAGAGCUCGUAGGCGGCUUGUCACGUCGUAUUGAUGAACGCCCGUAAGGCUUGAACCUCGGUCUGCAGGUCGAUACGGGCUAGCUAGAGUGUGUAGGGAGGAUCGGAAUUCCUGGUGUAGCGGUGAAUGCGCAGAUAUCAGGAGGAACACCGGUGGCGAAGCGGAUCUCUGGGCCGAUACUGACGCUGAGGAGCGAAAGCGUGGGGGGGAGCGAACAGG
rnacentral:rRNA from 1 species